GUCGAACGGUAGCACAGAGAGCUUGCUCUCGGGUGACGAGUGGCGGACGGGUGAGUAAUGUCUGGGAAACUGCCUGAUGGAGGGGGAUAACUACUGGAAACGGUAGCUAAUACCGCAUAACGUCGCAAGACCAAAGAGGGGGACCUUCGGGCCUCUUGCCAUCAGAUGUGCCCAGAUGGGAUUAGCUAGUAGGUGGGGUAACGGCUCACCUAGGCGACGAUCCCUAGCUGGUCUGAGAGGAUGACCAGCCACACUGGAACUGAGACACGGUCCAGACUCCUACGGGAGGCAGCAGUGGGGAAUAUUGCACAAUGGGCGCAAGCCUGAUGCAGCCAUGCCGCGUGUAUGAAGAAGGCCUUCGGGUUGUAAAGUACUUUCAGCGGGGAGGAAGGUGUUGCGGUUAAUAACCGCAGCAAUUGACGUUACCCGCAGAAGAAGCACCGGCUAACUCCGUGCCAGCAGCCGCGGUAAUACGGAGGGUGCAAGCGUUAAUCGGAAUUACUGGGCGUAAAGCGCACGCAGGCGGUCUGUCAAGUCGGAUGUGAAAUCCCCGGGCUCAACCUGGGAACUGCAUUCGAAACUGGCAGGCUAGAGUCUUGUAGAGGGGGGUAGAAUUCCAGGUGUAGCGGUGAAAUGCGUAGAGAUCUGGAGGAAUACCGGUGGCGAAG
rnacentral:rRNA from 1 species